GUGCAAAGAAUGAAAGGAAAGGAAAAAACCGCUAUAAUUUAUAUUAUUUUUUUCUGAUCAAUUAGUUUGCUCUGUUAGCUUAGAGACUAAAUCUAUUUCUGGUGUCUGACAAAAGACAAGUUUAAAGGUUCUGUAUUGUCCCCAAAACAGUUCUAUGGAGAUGGUGUAACAGAAAGUACUAAAAAUGUUUUGUUGUAUGUCGCCUGAUAAAGAGAAGGAACCCACCAGACUAACAGACGACCAGAAACGUAUUAUCCAACAGGUGUGGUCUGAGGUCAGACACCAAAUUGAUGAAGUGGGCGUGGAAACGUUCCUUCGGUUUUUUAACACCCACCCAGAAGCCAUGGAUUCCUUUUUGGUGUUUAAGAACAUGGAGGUCGUAGACCUCGAGACUAAUGUCCAACUGAAAGAGCACGCGCUCAAAGUAACAAGCGUCGUAGACAAAUGCGUGGCCAGGAUCAACGACCCGAAAAGUUUCGAGACGAUUUGCCGUGACCAGGGGAUCAACCACGCUGGCCGCAUUGUGACAGACGAGUUCCAGCGCUCGCUUCGUGACAAAUAUAUUGAAGCCAUCAAAGCUCGAACGUCUGUCGCGUGGAGCGCUGAGCACCAAGAAGCCUGGGAGACGUUUUUUAACAUCAUGCAAAGAGACAUGAUGAACUCCAUGAGACAUAUGAAUGCAUUAAGAGAUCGCAAAGAGUAAAAAGUUUCCAUUGUUUUGUCUUUAACAAAUAGAAUAAAAUCUCUAUUCUCUUUGAAAUAUU
rnacentral:sRNA from 1 species